AUCCAGCUGAUCACGAGUCCCAAAUGGGACGAAAUGCGCAUCCUGGAU
rfam:Trichobilharzia regenti genome assembly, scaffold: TRE_scaffold0004054